GUAUGGGUGACACAUCAUUAC
rnacentral:siRNA from 1 species